rnacentral:rRNA from 1 species
CCUACGGGUGGCUGCAGUAGGGAAUAUUGGACAAUGGGCGCAAGCCUGAUCCAGCCAUGCCGCGUGAGUGAAGAAGGCCCUCGGGUUGUAAAGCUCUUUUGUCCGGAAAGAAAAGCAUUCGGUUAAUACCCGGGUGUUCUGACGGUACCGGAAGAAUAAGCACCGGCUAACUUCGUGCCAGCAGCCGCGGUAAUACGAAGGGUGCAAGCGUUACUUGAAGCUACUGUGGGUAAAUCGUGCGGUGGUGUGUGAAAGCCCUGGGCUCAACCUGGGAAUUGCAUUGGAUACUGGCAAGCUAGAGUGCGGCAGAGGGUAGUGGAAUUCCUGGUGUAGCAGUGAAAUGCGUAGAGAUCAGGAGGAACAUCCGUGGCGAAGGCGACUGCCUGGGCCAGCACUGACACUGAGGCACGAAAGCGUGGGGAGCAAACAGGAUUAGAUACCCGGGUAGUC